UACGGAGGGUGCAAGCGUUAUCCGGAUUCACUGGGUUUAAAGGGUGCGUAGGCGGAUAGGUAAGUCCGUGGUGAAAUCCUGCAGCUUAACUGCAGAACUGCCAUGGAUACUAUUUAUCUUGAAUGUCGUGGAGGUUAGCAGAAUAUGUCAUGUAGCGGUGAAAUGCUUAGAGAUGACAUAGAAUACCCAUUGCGAAGGCAGCUAACUACGCGAAUAUUGACGCUGAUGCACGAAAGCGUGGGGAUCAAACAGG
rnacentral:rRNA from 1 species